CAUCACUGGUGUUCGGGUUGUCAUGCCAAUGGCACUGCCCGGUAGCUAAAUGCGGAAGAGAUAAGUGCUGAAAGCAUCUAAGCACGAAACUUGCCCCGAGAUGAGUUCUCCCUGACCCUUUAAGGGUCCUGAAGGAACGUUGAAGACGACGACGUUGAUAGGCCGGGUGUGUAAGCGCAGCGAUGCGUUGAGCUAACCGGUACUAAUGAACCGUGAGGCUUAACCUU
rnacentral:rRNA from 1 species